GCUAGCAUGGUGCAGUGGUUUGAAUGUUGGACUAUGAAUCUGGAGGUCAAGGGUUCGAUUCCCUGCUCAGUCA